rnacentral:tRNA from 1 species
CCGGCGUUUCAGCGGAGACGCCGACAGCAUCGGACUCAUGAUCCGUGGGCCGUGGGUUCGAGUCCCGCCCGCCCUA